rnacentral:rRNA from 1 species
UACGUAGGGGGCUAGCGUUGUCCGGAAUCAUUGGGCGUAAAGAGCGCGUAGGCGGCCAGAUAAGUCCGGUGUGAAAGUCACAGGCUCAACCUGUGAAUGCCGCUGGAAACUGUCUGGCUAGAGUCCGGAAGGGGCGAGUGGAAUUCCUGGUGUAGCGGUGAAAUGCGCAGAUAUCAGGAGGAACACCGGUGGCGAAGGCGGUUCUCUGGGCAUUACCUGACGCUGGAGGAGCGAAAGUGUGGGGAGCGAACAGG